AGAGUUUGAUCAUGGCUCAGAUUGAACGCUGGCGGCAUGCCUUACACAUGCAAGUCGAGCGGCAGCGCGGGGGCAACCCUGGCGGCGAGCGGCGAACGGGUGAGUAAUACAUCGGAACGUGUCCUUUCGUGGGGGAUAACCAGUCGAAAGACUGGCUAAUACCGCAUGAGAUCGAAAGAUGAAAGCGAGGGACCGCAAGGCCUCGCGCGAUUGGAGCGGCCGAUGUCGGAUUAGCUAGUUGGCGGGGUAAAAGCCCACCAAGGCGACGAUCCGUAGCUGGUUUGAGAGAACGACCAGCCACACUGGGACUGAGACACGGCCCAGACUCCUACGGGAGGCAGCAGUGGGGAAUUUUGGACAAUGGGGGCAACCCUGAUCCAGCCAUGCCGCGUGUGUGAAGAAGGCCUUCGGGUUGUAAAGCACUUUCGGCCGGAACGAAAUCGCCUUUGUUAAUAGCGAGGGUGGAUGACGGUACCGAAGAAGAAGC
rnacentral:rRNA from 1 species